rnacentral:rRNA from 1 species
CCUACGGGUGGCAGCAGUGAGGAAUAUUGGUCAAUGGGCGCGAGCCUGAACCAGCCAAGUAGCGUGAAGGAUGACUGCCCUACGGGUUGUAAACUUCUUUUAUAAAGGAAUAAAGUGAUGCACGUGUGCCUUUUUGUAUGUACUUUAUGAAUAAGGAUCGGCUAACUCCGUGCCAGCAGCCGCGGUAAUACGGAGGAUCCGAGCGUUAUCCGGAUUUAUUGGGUUUAAAGGGAGCGUAGAUGGGUUGUUAAGUCAGUUGUGAAAGCUGGCGGCUCAACCGUAGAAUUGCAAUUGAUACUGGCAGACUGGAGUACAGGUGAGGUAGGCGGAAUUCGUGGUGUAGCGGUGAAAUGCUUAGAUAUCACGAAGAACACCGAUUGCGAAGGCAGCUUACUAAACUGCCACUGACAUUGAUGCUCGAAAGUGUGGGUAUCAAACAGGAUUAGAUACCCGAGUAGUC